CUGGCUCAGGACGAGCGCUGGCGGCGUGCUUAACACAUGCAAGUCGAACGAGAAUAGUAGAAGCUUGCUUUGACUAUCGAGUGGCGGACGGGUGAGUAACGCGUGAACAAUCUGUCUCACACAGGGGAAUAACGCAUCGAAAGAUGUGCUAAUACCGCAUAGGACCACGAGGUCGCAUGGCUUUGAGGUGAAAGGAGAAAUCCGGUGUGAGGUGAGUUCGCGUCUGAUUAGAUAGUUGGUGAGGUAACGGCCCACCAAGUCAACGAUCAGUAGCCGACCUGAGAGGGUGAUCGGCCACAUUGGGACUGAGACACGGCCCAGACUCCUACGGGAGGCAGCAGUGGGGAAUAUUGGGCAAUGGGCGCAAGCCUGAACCCCCAGCAACGCCGCGUGAAGGAAGAAGGUUUUCGGAUCGUAAACUUCUGUCCUAUGAGAAGAUAAUGACGGUAUCAUAGGAGGAAGCCCCGGCUAACUACGUGCCAGCAGCAGC
rnacentral:rRNA from 1 species